UGCAUGGGAAUUUGCCCAGUAGUGGGGGACAACUCGGAGAAAUCCGAGCUAAUACCGCAUACGCCCUACGGGGAAAGGCGGGGAGUCUUCGGACCUCGCGCUAUUGGAUGAGCCCAUGUCGGAUUAGCUAGUUGGUAGGGUAAAGGCCUACCAAGGCGACGAUCCGUAGCUGGUUUGAGAGGAUGAUCAGCCACACUGGGACUGAGACACGGCCCAGACUCCUACGGGAGGCAGCAGUGGGGAAUAUUGGACAAUGGGGGCAACCCUGAUCCAGCAAUGCCGCGUGUGUGAAGAAGGCCU
rnacentral:rRNA from 1 species